rnacentral:lncRNA from 1 species
CUUUUUUUUUUUUUUUCGCUGCACCCAUGGCAUGCAGAAGUUCCUCGACUUGAACCCGCCCCACAGCAGCGUCCUUAGCUAUAGUAGUGACAGUGCUAGAUCCUUAACCCACUGAGCCACAGAGGGACUCCUCCUGACUUUUUUUUCCUGUCUUUCUAGGGCAAUACCCACAGCCUUUGGAAGUUCCCAGGCCAGGGGUUGAAUGGGAGCUGUAGUUGCUGUCCUAUACCACAGUCACAGCAACACCAGAUCCAAGCUUCGUCUGGGAUCUACACCGCAGUUCAUGUCAGUGCCAGAUCCUUAACCCAAUGAGCAGGCCCAGGGAUCAAACCCGAUUCCUCAUGGAUACUAGUCAGGUUCCUUACCACUAAGCCAAAACAGGAACCUCCUGACCAUUUUUCCAUUGGGUUGAUUUUGAUAUAAAGCUGCAUGAGCUGUUCGAAUAAUCCCUUGUUGGUCACUUAGUUUGCAAAGAUUUUCUCCCAUUCUGCAGGUUGUCUUUUUUUUUUUUUUUUAGUUUUUCUUGGAAUUCCCGUCGUGGCACAGGGGAAACAAAUCCAACUAGGAACCAUGAGGCUGUGGGUUUGAUCCCUGGCUUUGCUCAGUGGGUUAAGGAUCUGGUGUUGCUGUGGCUGUGGUAUAGGCCGGCAGCUACAGCUCCGAUUAGACCCCUAGCCUGGGAACCUCCAUAUGCCGCCGGUGCGGCCCUGAAAAGCCAAAAAAAUUUUUAAAAAAGAUUUUCUUUGCUGUUCAGAAGAUUUUAAGUUUAAUUAGGUCCCAUUUGUUUAUUUUUCUUCUUAUUUUCAUUGCUCCAGGAGGUGGAUCAAAAAAGAUAUCACCGUGACUAUGUCAGAGUGUUCUGCCUACGUUUUCCUCUUUUAAAAGAAUUUUAUAGUAUCUGGCCUUAUGUUUAGGUCUUUAAAUCCAUCUCGUGUCUUUUUGUGUGUAUGGUGUUCUUUUUUUGCGUAUGAACACUCUCAUUCUUGGGCUUUAAAAGUGUCAACUGGUUGAGAGUUACAGUGGGAGGAAGGCAAGAAAUUAUGGAACCAAGCAGAGUAUUUGGAUAGGUGUAUGACCCUAGAGAACUUUGAAAACUUAAAUGCUAUAAUGGUGGUAAGGCAGAUGAGUUCCUAUUUUAAUUGAUAGGUGAAAAACUACUCAAAACUUAAACUUUUGAAAAUCCUGAUACAUUUAGUGGAUUAGGAACAAAUCCUGAGUGUAUUAUAAAAUGUUACCUAUUCCUGGGGUUCAUGCUAUUGCACAGUGGGAUAGGAGGUGUCUGCAGAGCCAGGACUCAAGUUGAAUUCCCAGCCUGGCAGUGGGUUAAAGGAUCUGGCGUUGCCACACAGCUGCAGCGAAGGUCACAACUAUGUCUUGAAUCUGUCCCUGGCCUGGGAAUUCCAUAUGUUGUGGGGUGGCCAGAAAAAAAAAGUUAACUUAUUUAGAGUGCCUGUGGUGGUUCAGCAGGUUAAAACCCAACAACAGUGUCGCUGAGCAUGUGGGUUCAAUCUCUGGCAUCACUCAGUGGGUUAAGGACCCUGUGUUACCACAAGCUGCAGCAUUAGUCACACAUGGGGCUUGGAUCCAGUGUUGCUGUGGCGUAGGCCUGAGGCUACAGCUCCCACUCAAUCCCUAGUCUGGGAAAUUCCAUAUGCCGCAGGUGCAGCCUUAAAAAAAAAAAGAACUUAUUCUCCUGAGAUGAUCCCUAGAGUGAGAUGUGAGGAGAAACUAUGAUGUCUCUUGUUAUUUAAGUUGGACGGGGAUUUGAAACUUCAUUUUUUAUGGUUUAAACUUUAAAAAAGGUCAAGUAGACUCUGUUCAGAACAUCCUGAUCCACUCUAGGAUGUCUUCGUUGGGGUUCAUCGAUGUGAGAGUGAAGCAGUGACACAGGCUGUAUGGGACACACAUUGAAGAGGGGGAUUAUAUCCUGUGCAAGAGGUAGGUCCAUUGGGUGGUCAGCCAUGAAGAGGAGUUAUGUAAAAAUACAAAGAGAAGAGAGGGAGCAAGGCUGUAUUAGGAUGGCUGGCUUGAGUCCAUCCCUCUAAUUCCAGAGGGCUCCCUAGGACACUGAAGUGCCUCUGCUAAUGCAGCUGCUGCUGCUGCUGCCUGUGGUGCAACAAGAAUCCUGAUCUUCCGGGUUAUAGAGGACAACACUGUGGCACCCCUGUGGAACAGCCAAAAGAUUAGUUCAAACCUGACUUCAGCCUACGUUCCUCAUACUUUAUAGCGCAACCACUUGUAAUGGAGGAGGCCGGUCAUCCUGAUGGCACUGAUUUAAGACUCCACGGAGGAAAAAAUCAUAAAUACCAGGGUAGAGAGGACAUCUCUCCCCUGAAGCAUAUUCACUGACAAAGGACAAAAAAGAAAG